rnacentral:pre_miRNA from 14 species
UCUCUCUCAUAUAUGCUAAACACUUACAACUGUUUGCAGAGGAAACUGAGACUUCAUAGCUAUGUCUCAGUCUCAUCUGCAAAGAAGUAAGUGCUUUGCCAAGCCCCUUGAAGGACG